CAGCAAAGAAAGAGACCACCAGCUACUAGCUCAGAUUAUGACUACAUAAUCCCAGUGUAAAGGGCACGCCUGGUUCCUAAUAGUUCCAAUAAGUUCCCAUGGAAGACACUCAUUGAGCACAUCUGGUAUGAUGCCGUUUCACCUUUGAGACGAUGUGAGGGGCUGCCGUGACCCUCUCUAUGACAGGACGGGCUCUAUGAAUGGUAACUAACAGGAUGAGAGAUGUGAGGAGUUGUGACGACCGAAAAAAGAUGCAGGCAGCAGUAACUGCUACUCCACAGCACCCCAUUC
rnacentral:lncRNA from 1 species